AGAUUUGAUCCUGGCUCAGGAUGAACGCUGGCGGCGUGCUUAACACAUGCAAGUCGAACGGAGUUUAUUUGAAAGCUUGCUUUUGGAUAAACUUAGUGGCGGACGGGUGAGUAACGCGUGGGUAACCUGCCUUAUACCGGGGGAUAACGUUUGGAAACGAACGCUAAUACCGCAUAAGCGCACGGGGCCGCAUGGCCCAGUGUGAAAAACUCCGGUGGUAUAAGAUGGACCCGCGUCUGAUUAGAUAGUUGGUGAGGUAACGGCCCACCAAGUUGACGAUCAGUAGCCGGCCUGAGAGGGUGAACGGCCACAUUGGGACUGAGACACGGCCCAAACUCCUACGGGAGGCAGCAGUGGGGAAUAUUGCACAAUGGGGGAAACCCUGAUGCAGCGACGCCGCGUGAGUGAAGAAGUAUUUCGGUAUGUAAAGCUCUAUCAGCAGGGAAGAAAAUGACGGUACCUGAGUAAGAAGCCCCGGCUAACUACGUGCCAGCAGCCGCGGUAAUACGUAGGGGGCAAGCGUUAUCCGGAUUUAUUGGGUUUAAAGGGUGCGCAGGCGGCUUGUUAAGCGGGAGGUGAAAUGCCGGCGCUCAACGUCGGAAGUGCCUCCCGAACUGGUGAGCUUGAAUGACUCUGCCGUGGGAGGAAUGUGUAGUGUAGCGGUGAAAUGCUUAGAGAUUACACAGAACACCGAUUGCGAAGGCAUCUCACGAAGGGUUGAUUGACGCUGAGGCACGAAAGCGUGGGGAUCAAACAGGAUUAGAUACCCUGGUAGUCCACGCAGUAAACGAUGAUGGCUAACCGCUGGUACAUACGUAUCAGUGGCCAAGCGAAAGCGAUAAGCCAUCCACCUGGGGAGUACGCACGCAAGUGUGAAACUCAAAGGAAUUGACGGGGACCCGCACAAGCGGUGGAACAUGUGGUUUAAUUCGAAGCAACGCGAAGAACCUUACUAGGGCUUGACAUCUGACGAAUCUUUGUGAAAGCAGAGAGUGCUCUUCGGAGAACGUCAAGACAGGUGGUGCACGGUUGUCGUCAGCUCGUGUCGUGAGAUGUUGGGUCAAGUCCCGCAACGAGCGCAACCCUUGUCCUCAGUAGCCAGCGGUACGGCCGGGCACUCUGGGGAGACCGCCAGGGACAACCUGGAGGAAGAUGGGGAUGACGUCAAAUCAUCAUGCCCCUUAUGAUUUGGGCUACACACGUGCUACAAUGGCGCCUGACAAAGUGAAGCGAACCCGCGAGGGCAGGCAAAUCACAAAAACGGCGUCCCAGUUCGGACUGAAGGCUGCAACCCGCCUUCACGAAGCUGGAAUCGCUAGUAAUCGCGGAUCAGAAUGCCGCGGUGAAUACGUUCCCGGGUCUUGUACACACCGCCCGUCACACCAUGGGAGUCUGCAACACCCGAAGUCCGUGACCGAGAGGAGCGGCCUAAGGCGAAAGUGGUAACUGGGGCUAAGUCGUAACAAGGUA
rnacentral:rRNA from 1 species